AGCUCAAAAUUAGAUUACCAGAUGAAGCUCAAUAUUUAAUCUCGGUAGAUGUAACACUCAUGAAUUUUGAUAUAAUUAAUAGGACUAAGAAAUUUGAUCCGACUUCAUCGUUGGACUUAAUUUGUAGGUUUCAUAUAUUUCUUCGGUUGAAUUUUUUUUGCUAAAUAGGUUGAUAUAAAUUAUGGUUUAGAAUUUUGAAGGGUUGGUAAUAUAAAUGUGCAAGUGGAGGGACUCACAUUGCAAGAAUUGGAGAUAAUUGUUAAAUUACGUAACGAGUUGUUUUCUUUAUUUCUUGUUUGCCGCAUCCCAUAUGAAAAAAACAUGCACAGUGGAGGGGAUUGCGUUUGAUUUGGAAUCGAUCGAAAGUGCUGAAGUUAGAAAUAGCACCAGAGCUUAGUUUUGUUGAGAUCAAAGGGUGUAAUUUCAGGUGCUCGAUGUAAUGCCUGUGGCUUAUUGUUGUUUAUCUUCUUCACAUGUUUCCAAUUAGAAUACAAAAGAAUGUAAUGGAUCUAACUGAAAAAGGAGACAUCCUGAGACAACGUAUUAGCUACUUCUAGAAAUGCACUGUGUAGUCCUUCAACACAACUCACUAGAGCAACCCAUAUUUCUAUUCCUAAACAUUGAGAAUUGAAGGCAACUCAACGUGUUGGACAGCACCCUCAACACCUGCAAUCAUGGAGUCUUGUAAAAAUACAUUUUUUUUUCUAUAAAAAUGUUAGUGAAAGGCUGAAUGUGAAAGAAAGGAUAGAAUAAUUAGAACAAUAAAAGUCAAGGUCUUGCCUCACUUUCAUCCGUGAAGAGUGAUGACAAAAAAUUGGGAUAAUUUGCAACUGCACAUCAUGCCCUAUUUCCAAUUAGUGAUUUGAAAGAAAUCAGUCAAAAACAUGAACGAAGUUGGAGAGAGGGAAAAUUGGAAUAGGGUCCAAGUACAAUUACCGUAUGUGUGUGAUUGCAAACAACAGUGGAAGAAGGAUGACGACUUCAAUGUUAAUCCAUCGUGAGGAAGAGGGAAACCUGCAAUUGUAAAUCUUAACGUUGUGACAUAUCCUGACAUUUAGAAGUAAGGGCAUUAUCGUCCAUUUAGUGUGUUUUUUCAAUUAUCGAUUUGUUUCUGUAAAAGAGCUUUAAGGGUAUGUUUUAUCAUUUAUCGAUUUGUUUCUGUAACAUAUUGAGAUUUGAAUCGAAACCCUUAAUUUGGUGGAUGAGGUAAUCGGAAUUCAAGUACGAGAUAAA